UGUUCAGAUUAAAUGUGGUCAAACCAAGUGGGUACCCGGUAUACCAUUAUACAUACAUUGGUUUUGUUUCAAUUUCACAUAUAAAAACUACGAAAUCACUUUGAAAUGGAAUAGAUAUAAAAACACAUGGCGAAUACUGAUACAGGUGAGCUAGUAUUUAUGCUUAUGUGUUUGUACUAAUCAUGGCAUAUUAUUAGUGUUCAGAAUUCUAUUGAUUAAAUUAUAAAAUAUAUUAUUUGUUAUUGUGGUGAAUACGAAGAGUAGGAAGCUAUCACAGUAAUGUUUGCCGCGAAUAACACAUUUUCAGGAAUUACAAAUGUUUGGAAUCCAAUAAAUAAACGACGAGUCGUCUUCUAUUUGAGCUUAAUUAGGGGCUGUACAUAAACCACGUGGUCAUUUUUAUUUGAUUUUCAGAACUUCCCCCUCCUUCCAUAGAAGAUCACCUGUCUCUCAGUUUCGUACAAUUUGUUUUUUUUUUUCUGCUGGAAAUCAUUGUUUUUUAUGCACUGGUUUCUUAUAAAACAUUAGAUUUUUUGUUUUUGAUGAUCGAGGGUAUAAAAUUGGUUAUAAGAAAAAAUAACAUUCGCGAUUCUUGCAGAAGUGGAUUCCUACCAUAUCUCUACGAACAUACUUGGAGGAAUCUUGCAAAUCUCGUGAAAACCUUCGUAAACAUUUUUGACAAAUUUCUGGCGGUAGUGUUUGUUGAAAUCUUUUCAACUAUGUAAUUGUUUUAUUGUAUUUAAGUAACAUAUUUUUUAAAGAAUUUCUUAUCGCACUUUUGAAAAAAUGUUCGAUAGACUUUUGGAAAGAUUCUUAGUGAACUUCAGAAGAUAUUGGAAGAAUUCCAGAGUUUGAUUUUGAUCCGAAUGAUUUAUGAUAUGUUACACCGAGUGUCAGCGAAUAUAACACGUGGAGACACUCAGUGAUCAGCACCAAACAGAUGGUGAAGAUCAAAGUACCUUAAUUCACAGGUAACGGAUUCCCACUAAUGGUAAUGUAUAACGUUGCGUUGCGUUGCAUGGUAAUGGAGUAUUUCGUAGAUUGCAUACUGAAAACUGUCAUGUUAGAAACUUUACAACACUUAUUCCAAUUGCUAAUGGAAAAAUAUUUUGGAUCAAAUAGUUAAGGAGUUGAAUGAUGGGAAGAGAAAUGGUGUAGGAUUCACAAUAAGCGAGUGAUGCGACCGGAUUGAAAUUAAGUGUAUGUGUAGUUUAGUAUACUUUUUGUAAUUGAGUGUAAGUGUGAAUGAAAUGUUUUCAUCAUCGUUGGGAGUGACGUUGCUAAGAAAGUUAAAGUCACUCCAUGCGUGUUCGUCUUCCAGGGAUGAGUUACAGGUAUUUCCACCUUGUGCCCUAGCUGGGCACUGGAUGAAAUAAAAUUCACGUGAGCAGGAAUUCGCUUCAACGCAAGAUUGUCAAUUUUUAUGUGAAAAACAGUUGAUUUCAGCAAAUUUUGCUGCAAAUAUCGGAUUACAGAAUGAAAUUAAAAAAAAAUAAUAACAAACGCGGAUGUAUUAGUGAGCCAAUUUCCGGGAACUUGUGUAUUAAAGUACUUUGGAUAAAGAUGGUGUUAUUUUUUUCAAUCCUGAAGCUAUGCUUUCAAUCCUGAAGGUAUGCUGUUCCGCUCAAGAAAAGUAAAAAUUUCUGCUCAAGAAAUGGUCAAGAAAUUUCCUACAGUGAGCUCUGUAGUAUCGGUUCCCGAACCAAACUUGCUGAAUCUCGAUCACGGCAGGGUCACAGCGGCAACCAAGAAUUCCGGAUCCAAAA